rnacentral:rRNA from 1 species
AGAGUUUGAUCCUGGCUCAGAACGAACGCUGGCAGUAUGCUUUAACCAUGCAAGUCGAACGAGAAAGUGUAGCAAUACAUGAGUAAAGUGGCAAACGGGUGAGUAACACACAGGAAUCUACCCAGUAGAGAGGAAUAAGCACUAGAAAUGGUGUCUAAUACCUCAUAAGCCAAUGUAGUAAAAUAUAUUGGGAAAGGAUUGGUAGCAAUAUUAAUUCACUAUUGGAUGAGCCUAUGGCGGAUUAGCUAGUUGGUAGGGUAAUGGCCUACCAAGGCAAUGAUCCGUAGCUGGUCUGAGAGGAUGAUCAGCCACAUUGAAACUGCGAUACGGUUCAAACUCCUACGGGAGGCAGCAGGUGGGAAUAUUGGACAAUGGACGAAAGUCUGAUCCAGCAAUACUGCGUGAAUGAUGAAGGCCUUUGGGUUGUAAAGUUCUUUUAAUAGGGAAGAUAAUGACUGUACCUAUAGAAUAAGUACCGGCAAACUUCGUGCCAGCAGCCGCGGUAAUACGAAGGGUACUAGCGUUGUUCGGAAUUAUUGGGCGUAAAGGGUGUGUAGGUUGUUUGAUAAGUUGGUUGUAAAAUCCCAAGGCUCAACCUUGGAAUUGCAGUCAAAACUAUCUUACUAGAGUAUGAUAUGCGAUGGCAGAAUUUCUAGUGUAGGGGUAAAAUCCGCAGAUAUUAGAAAGAAUACCGGUGGUGUAGACGGCUAUCUUGGUCAUUACUGACACUGAGGCACGAAAGUGUGGGGAGCAAACAGGAUUAGAUACCCUGGUAGUCCACACUGUAAACGAUGAUUACUAAAUGUCUGAAAUAUUUUUUUUGGGUGUUAAAGCUAACGCGUUAAGUAGUCCGCCUGGGGAAUACGGUCGCAAGACUAAAACUUAAAGAAAUUGACGGGGACCCGCACAAGCAGUGGAACAUGUGGUUUAAUUCGAUAGUCCACGAAAAACCUUACCAACUCUUGACAUCCCGAUUCCGAGUAUAGAGAUAUAUUCUUCAGUUCGGCUGGGUCGGAGACAGGUGAUGCAUGGCCGUCGUCAGCUCGUGCCGUGAGGUGUUAGGUUAAGUCCUUUAACGAGCGCAACCCUUGUCUUUAUUUGCCAACAGGUAAUGCUGGGAACUAUAAAGAUACUGCCAGCGAUAAGCUGGAGGAAGGUGAGGAUGAUGUCAGGUCAUCACGUCCCUUAUGAGUUGGGCUACACAUGUGUUACAAUGGGAGCUACAAAAAGUUGCAAUGGAGUGAUCUUGAGCUAAUCUAAAAAAGCUCUCUCAGUUCGGAUUGCAGACUGCAACUCGUCUGCAUGAAGUUGGAAUUGCUAGUAAUCGUAGAUCAGCAUGCUACGGUGAAUACGUUCUCGGGUCUUGUACACACUGCCCGUCGCACCAUGAAAGUUCUUUUUGCCUGAAUUGUAUGAGCUAACCGCAAGGAGGCAGUAUAACACGGUAAGGGGAAUGAUUGGGGUUAAGUCGUAACAAGGUAACC